UGGGGAAUAUUGCACAAUGGGCGAAAGCCUGAUGCAGCAACGCCGCGUGAGUGGUGAAGGCCUUCGGGUUGUAAAGCUCUGUCUUUUGGGACGAUAAUGACGGUACCAAAGGAGGAAGCCACGGCUAACUACGUGCCAGCAGCCGCGGUAAUACGUAGGUGGCAAGCGUUGUCCGGAUUUACUGGGCGUAAAGGAUGCGUAGGCGGAUUUUUAAGUGAGAUGUGAAAACCCUAAGCUUAACUUGGGGACUGCAUUUCAUACUGGAAAUCUAGAGUGCGGGAGAGGAGAAUGGAAUUCCUAGUGUAGCGGUGAAAUGCGUAGAGAUUAGGAAGAACACCAGUGGCGAAGGCGAUUCUCUGGACCGUAACUGACGCUGAGGCAUGAAAGCGUGGGUAGCAAACAGGAUUAGAUACCCUGGUAGUCCACGCCGUAAACGAUGAGUACUAGGUGUAGGAGGUAUCGACCCCUUCUGUGCCGCAGUUAACACAAUAAGUACUCCGCCUGGGAAGUACGAUCGCAAGAUUAAAACUCAAAUGAAUUGACGGGGUCAUAGCUG
rnacentral:rRNA from 1 species